GCAAGGAUGUGUCAUGGGAAGUCAAACAUGGGACACAAAAAUCUGAAAUCAGACAAGGAGGGCUCAGAUGUAUUUUACCUAACUGCUCACCAGGUGCUACAAUGCUUUUAUUGACUCAGCUGUUGUGGACCCCUCUCCAACAUCAACAGAAUAACACAUGAAACUUGUUACCAAAGAAGCGCAAGAGGGAUCUCCUAUGUAAGCCUGGGAUGUUGGAAACAAAGGCCACAUGGGGAGAGAAAAGAAGAACAUUUGGGCAGGUGUUCCCUAAAAUGACAGGGCUUGGUGUGGAAUAACAUUAGAAGGAGUCAAGGCUACCCAUAGAAGACAGAUCUGGGGCCUUGUCAUGGCCCAGGUUGGUGGUUGGGUUCUGUUUUACCCAUCACAAGACAUUCUUCUUUUGUUCUUAAGUAAUAAAGGCCUCUGAAUUCUGCAACUUCUA